rnacentral:rRNA from 1 species
GGAAUAUUGCACAAUGGGCGCAAGCCUGAUGCAGCGACGCCGCGUGAGGGAUGACGGCCUUCGGGUUGUAAACCUCUUUCGCUAGGGACGAAGCGCAAGUGACGGUACCUGGAGAAGAAGGACCGGCCAACUACGUGCCCGCAGCCGCGGUAAUACGUAGGGUCCGAGCGUUGUCCGGAAUUACUGGGCGUAAAGAGCUCGUAGGUGGUUUGUCGCGUUGUUCGUGAAAACUCACAACUCAAUUGUGGGCGUGCGGGCGAUACGGGCAGACUGGAGUACUGCAGGGGAGACUGGAAUUCCUGGUGUAGCGGUGGAAUGCGCAGAUAUCAGGAGGAACACCGGUGGCGAAGGCGGGUCUCUGGGCAGUAACUGACGCUGAGGAGCGAAAGCGUGGGGAGCGAAC